UACGUAGGUGGCAAGCGUUGUCCGGAAUUAUUGGGCGUAAAGCGCGCGCAGGCGGUCCCUUAAGUCUGAUGUGAAAGCCCACGGCUCAACCGUGGAGGGUCAUUGGAAACUGGGGGACUUGAGUACAGAAGAGGAAAGCGGAAUUCCACGUGUAGCGGUGAAAUGCGUAGAGAUCAGCAGGAACACCCGUGGCGAAGGCGGCUUCCUGGGCCGCGCCUGACGCUGAGACGCGAAAGCUGGGGGAGCGAACGGG
rnacentral:rRNA from 1 species